ACUAACAGAAGACUGGUGAAUUAACAUUGGCAUGGAUUCUUCAAAUUAAUGAUGGAGGACAUGUUGCAAUUCUAUUAUUAUCUGAUGCAAAGGACUAUUCAUGGUCAUGACUAAUCAUUAAAUGGCUGUAAACUUUUGAGAAAACACUUCCAAAUACUGUGACAGCAUAUCGGCUGCAGUUGUUAAGGCUGGCAUUAUUGGCAUUAGAUCACUGAAGAGGAAAUAAAGUGUGCAAGAAUACUCUCUUGUCACCAGAUUACUGAGGUGUACUGGAGACUCAGCUAGCAAAAAAGAGAAGCAGCUGAACAUCAAAAGAGAAGCAGCAGCUAGGCAUCAGAGACUAUGGUUGGACGUUGGAGAGAAGCAGCUUGAUUUCAGAGAGACAGUUUGACAGUGCAACUUUGGAGAAGAGUCCAGCCAGAAACCUUCCUGCUACAUGUCCUUCCCAGCUGCC